rnacentral:rRNA from 1 species
ACGGAGGAUGCGAGCGUUAUCCGGAUUUAUUGGGUUUAAAGGGUGCGUAGGCGGAUUAAUAAGUCAGUGGUGAAAACCUGCAGCUUAACUGUAGAACUGCCAUUGAUACUGUUAGUCUUGAGUACGGUCAAGGUAGGCGGAAUGAGUAAUGUAUCGGUUCCAUGCUUAGAUAUUACCCAUCACACCGAUUUCUUUGGCAGCUUACUGUUCCAUUACUGACGCUGAUGCACGAAAGCUUUUGGAUCGAACUG